CAAUCAAACCGGGAGAUAGCUGGUUCUCCCCGAAAGCUAUUUAGGUAGCGCCUCGUGAAUUCAUCUCCGGGGGUAGAGCACUGUUUCGGCUAGGGGGCCAUCCCGGCUUACCAACCCGAUGCAAACUGCGAAUACCGGAGAAUGUUAUCACGGGAGACACACGGCGGGUGCUAACGUCCGUCGUGAAGAGGGAAACAACCCAGACCGCCAGCUAAGGUCCCAAAGUCAUGGUUAAGUGGGAAACGAUGUGGGAAGGCCCAGACAGCCAGGAUGUUGGCUUAGAAGCAGCCAUCAUUUAAAGAAAGCGUAAUAGCUCACUGGUCGAGUCGGCCUGCGCGGAAGAUGUAACGGGGCUAAACCAUGCACCGAAGCUGCGGCAGCGAACGUAUCACCCAAGACAACUUUACGGAGUUGACGAUUGACGGAGCGAAGCGACGUCAAAGCGUUCAUUAAAGUCGAGUUGGCUUAGGGAUACGUUCGUUGGGUAGGGGAGCGUUCUGUAAGCCUGUGAAGGUGUGUCGUGAGGCAUGCUGGAGGUAUCAGAAGUGCGAAUGCUGACAUAAGUAACGAUAAAGCGGGUGAAAAGCCCGCUCGCCGGAAGACCAAGGGUUCCUGUCCAACGUUAAUCGGGGCAGGGUGAGUCGACCCCUAAGGCGAGGCCGAAAGGCGUAGUCGAUGGGAAACGGGUUAAUAUUCCCGUACUUGGUGUUACUGCGAAGGGGGGACGGAGAAGGCUAUGUUGGCCGGGCGACGGUUGUCCCGGUUUAAGCGUGUAGGUGUGUGUUCCAGGUAAAUCCGGUUCACUUUAACACUGAGGCGUGACGACGAGGCACUACGGUGCUGAAGCAACAAAUGCCCUGCUUCCA
rnacentral:rRNA from 2 species